rnacentral:rRNA from 1 species
GACGAACGCUGGCGGCGUGCUUAACACAUGCAAGUCGAGCGGAAAGGCCCUGCUUUUGUGGGGUGCUCGAGUGGCGAACGGGUGAGUAACACGUGAGUAACCUGCCCUUGACUUUGGGAUAACUUCAGGAAACUGGGGCUAAUACCGGAUAGGAGCUCCUGCUGCAUGGUGGGGGUUGGAAAGUUUCGGCGGUUGGGGAUGGACUCGCGGCUUAUCAGCUUGUUGGUGGGGUAGUGGCUUACCAAGGCUUUGACGGGUAGCCGGCCUGAGAGGGUGACCGGCCACAUUGGGACUGAGAUACGGCCCAGAUUCCUACGGGAGGCAGCAGUGGGGAAUAUUGCACAAUGGGCGGAAGCCUGAUGCAGCAACGCCGCGUGCGGGAUGACGGCCUUCGGGUUGUAAACCGCUUUCGCCUGUGACGAAGCGUGAGUGACGGUAAUGGGUAAAGAAGCACCGGCUAACUACGUG